ACGGACGCUUGCGGCGGGCAUAACAAAUGCCAGUCGAACGGUGAAGCGCCUUCCUUUUUGGUGGGUGUGGGUGAGUGGCGGAAGGGUGAGUAACAAGUGAGUAACCUGCCCCCAUCUUAUGGAUAACCGCAUGAAAGUGUGGCUAAUAAGGGGAAUUCUGGGUCCGUCGGAAGAUGGGUCUGGGAAAGGAGUUGUUUCGGUGGGGGAUGGGCUCGGGGCCUAUUAGCUUGUUGGUGGGGUGAUGGCCUACCAAGGGGGGGACGGGUAGCCGGCCUGAGAGGGUGGACGGUCACACUGGGACUGAGACACGGCCCAGACUCCUACGGGAGGCAGCAGUGGGGAAUAUUGCACAAUGGGCGCAAGCCUGAUGCAGCGACGCCGCGUGAGGGAUGGAGGCCUUCGGGUUGUGAACCUCUUUCGCCAGUGAAGCAGGCCUGCCUCGUUUGUGGGUGGGUUGAUGGUAGCUGGAUAAGAAGCGCCGGCUAACUACGUG
rnacentral:rRNA from 1 species